rnacentral:rRNA from 1 species
UACAGAGGCCCCAAGCGUUUAGGCGGAAUCACUGGGCUUAAAGCGUGUGUAGGCGGACUUCUAAGUACCUUGUGAAAUCCCACGGCUUAACCGUGGAACUGCUUGGUAUACUGGUCGUCUUGAGCCACUUAGGGGUUACCGGAACAAAUGGUGGAGCGGUGAAAUGCGUAGAUAUCUGGAGGAACACCGGUGGCGAAGGCGGCGUUCUGGACUGCAACUGACACUGAGGAACGAAAGCCAGGGUAGCAAACGGG